AACGAACGCUGGCGGCAUGCCUAACACAUGCGAGUCGAACGAUGCUUUCGGGCAUAGUGGCGCACGGGUGCGUAACGCGUGGGAAUCUGCCCUUGGGUUCGGAAUAACAGUGAGAAAUUGCUGCUAAUACCGGAUGAUGUCUUCGGACCAAAGAUUUAUCGCCCAGGGAUGAGCCCGCGUAGGAUUAGCUAGUUGGUGGGGUAAUGGCCUACCAAGGCGACGAUCCUUAGCUGGUCUGAGAGGAUGAUCAGCCACACUGGGACUGAGACACGGCCCAGACUCCUACGGGAGGCAGCAGUGGGGAAUAUUGGACAAUGGGCGCAAGCCUGAUCCAGCAAUGCCGCGUGAGUGAUGAAGGCCUUAGGGUUGUAAAGCUCUUUUACCCGGGAUGAUAAUGACAGUACCGGGAGAAUAAGCUCCGGCUAACUCCGUG
rnacentral:rRNA from 1 species